rnacentral:rRNA from 1 species
UACGUAGGUGGCUAGCGUUGUCCGGAUUUACUGGGCGUAAAGAGCGCGCAGGCGGUCGUUCAAGUCGAGUGUGAAAGCCCCCGGCUCAACUGGGGAGGGUCACUCGAUACUGAUCGACUUGAAGGUGGGAGAGGGAAGCGGAAUUCCCGGUGUAGUGGUGAAAUGCGUAGAUAUCGGGAGGAACACCAGUGGCGAAGGCGGCUAACUGGUCCGGUACUGACGCUGAGGUGGCGAAAAGCGUGGGGAGCAAACAGGG